rnacentral:lncRNA from 1 species
AAAUAUGCCUUCUCAGAAGGUUGAAACGGGUCACCAAGACACUGUCCAUGAUGUUGCCAUGGAUUACUAUGGUAAGAGGCUGGCAACAGCUUCAUCAGAUCACACAAUUAAGAUAAUUGGAGUGAACAACACGGCCUCUCAGCAUCUAGCAACAUUGACUGGUCACCAAGGACCUGUUUGGCAAGUAGUGUGGGCUCACCCAAAGUUUGGUUCUCUGCUUGCAUCGUGUUCCUAUGAUGGCCGAGUCAUUAUAUGGAAGGAGGGUAACCANNNNNNNNNNNNNNNNNNNNNNNNNNNNNNNNNNNNNNNNNNNNNNNNNNNNNNNNNNNNNNNNNNNNNNNNNNNNNNNNNNNNNNNNNNNNNNNNNNNNNNNNNNNNNNNNNNNNNNNNNNNNNNNNNNNNNNNNNNNNNNNNNNNNNNNNNNNNNNNNNNNNNNNNNNNNNNNNNNNNNNNNNNNNNNNNNNNNNNNNNNNNNNNNNNNNNNNNNNNNNNNNNNNNNNNNNNNNNNNNNNNNNNNNNNNNNNNNNNNNNNNNNNNNNNNNNNNNNNNNNNNNNNNNNNNNNNNNNNNNNNNNNNNNNNNNNNNNNNNNNNNNNNNNNNNNNNNNNNNNNNNNNNNNNNNNNNNNNNNNNNNNNNNNNNNNNNNNNNNNCUUGGGCACCCAAUUUAGGGCUACCUAAAUCUACUAUUGCCAGUGCAUCGCAGGAUGGUAAAGUGGUUAUAUGGACCGUAGCAAAAGAGGGUGAUCAGUGGGAAGGCAAGGUUUUGAAUGAUUUCAAGACACCUGUUUGGAGGGUCUCAUGGUCACUGACAGGAAACAUACUGGCAGUGGCUGAUGGGAACAACAAUGUGACAUUGUGGAAAGAAGCAGUAGACGGGGAAUGGCAACAGGUGACAACAGUGGAGCCUUAGAAUGUGAUUUGCUGGCCUUGUUUAGUACUUUGAAAAUGGUUAGAAUUUUGUUUUGAAAUAUAGUUGACAUCUUGUUUCCCUGCAUAUUAUACAGUUGAUUAAUUGUGCUUCAUAGCGUUACUUCCUUGAUGUUUGUGAUCCAUUGCAUAUUCUGUGAUUGGAAGAAUGAAGUUCAUUAGCUCGAGUUAUUUUGAGAUUAGAAGAAAGUUUUUCAAGUAUAUAAUGUGACAAUAGCUUCUGUUUUGGGAGUUGCAUAAACUGUUGUAUUCAAUUUUGGCUGCUCAUGAUUAAUCCUUCACCAUGUGUGCAAAAUAUCCUCCUUGAGAAUUUGGUUUUUAACCAAGCCUGUGUAUGGUACAAGCAACAAAAUUUAUAUCUGUUGCUUGCUCAAGGUUUUAUAUGAUUGUUUAGGCUUAGAUUCUUUGGAUUUCUCUAUGCAGUAGAAGAAAAAUUCCCGUUUCCUAUUUUGUUUUUGUUUAGUUAGAUGGUGCAGCAUUCACCUUAAAAAUUGAUAUGAAAAUUUAAGAAAUAAGCUUUCAAAGCAAAAUUCCAUUUAGAUUCUCUCCUUAAAAUUUUAGGGAAAUACUCUCUCCUAUAAAAACGAGUGACAAAUUUUUAACAAAAAAUUAAGAUGGAUUUCAUUUGUUUCUUCUUUUAAUUGAUACAUUCUUUGUUUAUAAUCACAGAAAUGUGGGUUUCAGUUUAUUUAUUUUUGAAAAUUUAAAAUAAAAAUGAUAUUAUUAUAAAUAUUUAAUUAAAACUACCAAUAAAUAGAACCAAAAUUAUUUAUAGAAUGUAACUUUUCGUGAUAUGAUUGUUGAUUUGUAACUAAAUAUUAUUUUGAUUGUUCUUCAAAUAAAUAAAAAAAACAAUAGUAAAUGGUAAUUAAACUAAUAUUGUUUUAUAUAUAUAUAUAUAUAUAUAUAUAUAUUCUAAUGACUAUAUAUUACGUGAGUUUUGAUGAAUAUACAUGAAGUAUUAAAGUAUCAAAUAAUUUUAGAUGGAUAUAAUUUUUCGCAAUACUUAAGUGAUAUAAACUUUCAUAUUCUAAAAAAUACAUUUUAAAGAAAUUAAUUAAAGAUAUUAUUGGUGUGACUUAAUUGUUUGAUUCCUUCUCACUUUAUAUGCAUCUAAGUAAUUUUUAAAAAAUAAAUUAGUGGCAAUGACUUGAUUGUUUGAUUCCUUCUCACUUUAUAUAUCUAAGUAAUUUUUAAAAAAUUAUUUAGAAACUAAAUUAGUGGCAAUGACUAUUGAAUAAAAAACUAUAGAGUAAAAUCUAGUUUUAAUUCCCGUUAAUAUUUUGAAUUUCAGUUUUAGUUUCUUUAAAAUAAAUUGUAUCUCUAAUUUUAAACUAGACUGAUUAAAAUUUAAAAGCAUUUAAAUAGUGUUAUUUAAACCACUUUAACAUCUAAAAAUAGUGUAUUUUGAAAUUAAAAAACAAAAAAGUAAAAUAAUAUAAUUUAUUGUAUAAUAUAAUCAGAUAACAUUUUUAAUUACUUUGAGUAAAGUUGAGAUCGAGCCAAAUAGAAGGUCGUAUGACACAUUCGUUAAAUAAUAUAUUAACUUUUGCUUUAAAUAUGUUUUAGGUUUCAACCAUAUAUAGAUAUUUAUGCUUUAAAUAUCACAUAUUUAUGUUUAUAAUAGAUUAAUUUCCUUUUAAAAAAUUUUUGUUAUUUUUUUAAUUCUUAAGUAUAUAAAAUCUUUUAGUUUCUUUUAGAAGUAAUGAUUUUUUAAUAAGAUAGAUCCUAACAUUUUAUAUUUAUUUCAAUUUUAUCUUUAAAAUAUAUUUUUUUUUUUUUUACUUUUUUAUAAAACAUGAUAUAUCAUUUCUUUAAUAUAAGAUAACAAAAAUUAAUUUUAAUUUUUACUCUAUAAGAUAUUGACUAUAAUAGAAAAUAUAUUUUUUUUUACAUAGAUACUUUUAUAUCAUAUCAUUUAUUUAAAUGUUAUAUUAUUAUAAUAUUUAAUUUACUAUUUCAAAAUUAUACGUCAAUAGUCAUUUUGAUGAUUACACAUUUAAAAAUCAAUUUCUAUCGCAAGAUCUAAACAACAUAAUGUGUCAAUUAUCUUUUUAUAUUUAUUAUCCAAACAAAAAUCACAUUUAGUUAAAAUCGAUUUUAUAUAAUCACUCUCAUUCAAAAUUAUUUUUACAAAUGCAUAACCAAAAAUCUCAAAAACAAUCCAUAUAAUUGUAUGAAAAAUUACAUGAGAAAUGACAGUGAACCAGAAGUAAUACUAAUGAAUCGUAUCCCAAGAAUCAUAUUAAUGAAUCAUGCCAAAACUUAUAAUAAGAAAAAUCAAUAUAAUGCUAUAUACUUACAACAUGCUCUUUAUAAUCCUUUUGUUAUUGAGAAAUGAUUUUGUAUUACCCUUGUUUCAAAUCCUUUUCUUGAUCCUCAGAUUAUGUUAUGCACUACCCUUGCUUUUCAUUUUCUGUGUUCACUAUCCUCUUUAUUGACACCAUUUACUGCAGAAGUUCUAUUUUCUUCUCGAUCUUCAUUUUUGGCAACUUCUUCUGUACUAGUUUUCUCUUCGGCACUCACUUCUAGAGACCCUAGCUUAACUUCAAGGUCCUUGACAAUCCUUUUAAAAGAUCUCACAUCCUUAGCCUCUGCUAAUUUGCUUCUUGAUGAUGUCUACAAUGUGAAAUCUAAAAGUCUGAAUAUUGAUAAUACCAAGAAAAAUUUACUUACCUCUUCCCAAAUAGUAUGGGAAGAUAAAUGGCAAAUAAAAAUCAAAGUUUACAAUUUCUUAAUCCAUUAAGGGGUGAUCUAAGGCCAUAAAAUUGACUUAAUUUUAGGUCAAAAACCAAAUUCAUUCCCUCAAAACACUUUUAAUGGCACCUCUCUACUUAAAAAAGAUUUUCUGACUAUAGAGCAAAAUAUAGAAAGGAAAUGCAACAGAAAUUGGGAACACGAGUUAGAUGUUGAAAACAAGGAAUUAUUCUGCAGCAUAAUUCUGACAAGAAUGUUCACAGACAGGUAAAACGUAAUAUAAUACUCAUAUAAUAAAGCAUAUAGCCACAACUAAAAUAUUUAAUGUAAGAGUUACCCUCAUGUUUGAAAACAAAUAUUGACAACAUUAUCAAAUGAUUGCUAUAACUACACCUUCUAUCCUUUGUUUAGAGGGUCUACACUUUCUAUCCAAUUUAUAUACUUCAGAACACAUACCUACCAACUAACGAACUGUGGUGCAUUAUUGCUCAUGAGUAUCUUUAAAAGUGAAGUAGGUCUAAAUUUCAAUUAUGCUUGACAUUAUCAGACAACAGACAUAUGAAAUGAAACAACUUUGAAGGCCACAGGAGCCAACCAUGCUUCGACAAUGGUAAAUUGGGGGAGCAAAUGACCAUAAAGAAUUUAAAUUUAACAGCUAGAAUUCUACACUCAAAAGCUACUUGCAUUACUUUAACCUACUUUCCACCUCCUCACAUUAGGCUAGACACCUCUUUGAAACUGAAUAAAUAAUAGGAUAUUUGGAAACUCGUUUAAAAGUAUAAAAUGAAAACAAAGCCUUGAAAACUAUUUAAUGAUGUUUGCAACUAAUUAAACAAAAAGGUGCAACUAAUUAAACAAAAAGGAGCGCAAGUGGGAAAAAGAUUGGUGGCCAUACUUCAGAAAACAACUCAGUUCAAUCAACCACCCAUUCACUCAUAAAUGAAUAAAUUUUCUUGUAGUAUUCCCUCAGUAGUUAUAUUGAAACCAUUUCAAGUAUUUAUAAUGUUUUGAAGCACAAAAUUUACUGGUUAAAAAAUUUUAAAUAAAAAAUUAUCAGUACUGGAUUUGAGUCCCGUAAUUUGUUUGCUAACCAAAAGCAAAAAGCAUUUGUGUUGUUGACUAACCUGUACAAUUUGCUCCACACGUCUUUGAAGAUCUUCGCUUGACGCUGGCUGGUGGAUGCCUUUAAGCAUUAGGAAUAAGUGAGACUCAAUAUCAUCUGAACAAUGUUUUCUAAUCAUACUUUGUGCAGUUGUAGAUCUACAGCCUAUGGCAGAGAAAGGGCAAUUCACAAGCUUUAGUGGACAAACGGUUAGGCAGUGUCUAUCCAUCUCACGUCUCAAGAUGUUAGCUGUGCACUUCUGUUCACAUGGAACUAUCUUGAAAUCACAAGUUGAAUCAUGCUCUUUCAAUUGACCAGCACUGAAUCUGACAUUGCACCCCUCAUUUUGGCAUAUCACGGUCCUGAAGUCGCAUGCAUCAACAUGGUUGGCAAGAUCUUCGGCAGAGUUAAAACUCAUACUGCAAUGAAAUGAGCUCUUGAAGUCAACAUUCUUGAGCAAAUCUUUUGCAAGUGUUUCUCUUCUAUCCAGUGGCCAAAAACCAUUUACUUCCAUCUCCUGAAUAAAAUCAUCUAUUUUGUCCUCUCUCUUGUCACUUAGCAACCACCCUGAAAACUGGCUCCACAAAUUCCUCUUUGAAUUAACAAACUCGUCAACAAAAUAAGAAAUAAUAUCAAAAGGGUGUUCCAAAGCUUCACCAUCAGGACCACCCUCAGAGAUAAUAGACUCAGCAACAAAUAAUUCACUCUUUUGGGUGACAAAUUCUAUCAUCUCCUUUCUCAAAUCAACAGCCACAAAACCAGGGGUAUUGAAGGGAUCUCCUGUUGUGUUAUCAACACAGGCACAGGCUAGUCCUGGCAUGAACAUUUGAGCCAGAUUGUGAACUACUUCUAUGUCACAAAAAUCACAAUGUAACAAGGGACCUUCCUCUUUCUCAUGUUCAAUCUUCUUAGGCCCAAGAUCCACAUUAGCUGUAGGCAAUUCCAUUCUUGAUAAAACCUAAAAGAGUCAAAAACAAAAACAUCACCAUACACUCUUUCAUCUCAACCUUGUAAAACCAAAACCACAAAUAAAAAUACUCCUCCAAUUUAUAAAUUUCUGUUUUACUUAUACCCUCAUAACUUAGUAUGUUCUAGCUCUCCUAUAAUAAAGGAAAAUUUUCAUCAUCUACUGCACAACAUUGCUAGCUCUCCCGUCAUUGCAUUUCAUUAUUCCAUACAUUAUCAUCAUCAUCAUCAUUUAUUGAGAAUACAAAUUGGAUUAAUUUCAACACAUAGUAAAUACCAACAAAUCAAAAUUUCAAAAUCUGCCUUUUCCACCUAUUCUGAUUAAUUGUCAAGAAACCCAACACCUAAAUUCCUAAAAUCUAGUGGAACUCCAUCCUAUUAAGCUAUUCCACUAGAAAAACAUACAAUGGUCAAGAUUUGAAACCUUGUUUUGGCUUAUGAAGUGUGUGAUUAAUGACAAAGAUAAGAAAAGAAGGAAAAAAAUAACAUAAAAAUAUAUUAUAUUUUUUUGCUUCUGAGAUCCAAAAGGCCAUAGAUUUCAAAUGUAAUUGAAGCACAUAUUGAUUGAUUGAGGUCAAUGGCACAGUGAAUUUUAGGAGACAAAUAGAAAAGUUGAUACUUUCAUAUCCUGUUUUAUUUUAUAUCCAAACUGUUCUAUAUGCUCAAUCUUACUGUUAAGAACAACGAUUUUAAACCACGCCAUUUAGUCCCUACUUCUACAUGUUCGUAAAACUUUUUCUUUAGUAAAUGCUUCCAUACAUUUUUAUUUUUCAUUUGAUCUCUCUAAGGCUACCUUUUGCCCAUUUGUUUAAAAAAAAAACUAUUUCAAAGUUUUCUCUUUACAAAACUAAUUUAAAGUUAAAAAUCAAAAUAUGUUUAAAGGCAAAGUACAAGCUUUUUUAGCAAUUUUAAUUUCCUUCAAUGGGGAUUCGAGAGAGAAGAGAAACAAAUUUUUAACCAAAAAAACAUCUUUCGCUUAAUUUUUUUUAAGCUACUUUUUUUCCUUUUCUUCUAAAAAAAACUAAGUUAUUUCAUCUUUUAAACAAAAAGAAAAAAGCUAGAUGAAAUACUACAUGAUAUUUCUUUUAAUCGUUGUCAUGAACAUCACAUCUGGUCGUCCUAAGAAUUAUGAGAUUCUUUUUUAAAGAGCAUGUCUUGGUGACCUGUUUCAAGCUUCUGAGAAGGCAUAUUUCUGCUAUCAACAACACACACAAUGCAAAUAGUUAGUUUCAAACAACAAUUUGCAGGUGAAACUAAUCAACUAAACUAAACCCUCUGUUAACUAGUCACUUCCAAUGUAGAAAAGGCAAAACAAAUCUUAAAUAAAAGACCAUGAAGGAAUAACAAAAGCAUAAGCACAAGAUUUAAUACAAAAUACACAAAUAUAUAACAUUUUCCAAGCAAGCAACUCCUCAAACUGCAAACAACAAUUCACUAUACAUAAUAACAAAUCCAUCAAGAAAAACAUAAUACUGAAAAGCAACCAUAUUCACAAGCUGAUGAAGAGUGAAAGUCCAGCCAAAGGUUUUAAAUUUCACACAAAUAUACAUGGAGUUUAGCAUUGAAGAAAGCCAAAAUACAAUUCCGUGUAAAUCAUUAUCUAUAAAUGAUCAUAAAAUCCCAAACAACUCGCAAAAUUAAAAACAUCAAACCCUGUAAAAAAAUGCAAAAAUUGGGAGAAAAUGGUUCAUCUUUGAAAAUAAACCGCUCCAAGCUAAAGAAAUGGGGAAAAUCACUUAAAGGGAGGGGAGGAAAUUGCCCCAAACAAAAGAGAGAGGUUUCUAAUGAAUAGGAAGAAUCCCAAAAUGGGUACGAGAUCAGAAGAUCGAAGUUUAAAUUUGAAUAGAUUGGGAGAGAAAGAGAGAGGAUAGAGAAGGGACCUGAGACAAAGACAGAGAAAUCAAAAGAACCAAAGGUGGCUGCCGGAGCUGCCGUGGACGGUGGCCCAAGUAAGCGCUGUCCGGUGAUGAGAUCUAAGGAAGAAACUGAGAAAAUGGAACACAGUUUCUUAUAACCAAUGGAAAUAUAUUACUUAUUAUUAUUAUUAUUAUUAUUAGAAUAUUAUUUAUUUUUUCUAGUUUAUUAUUUUAUGAAUAAUUAAUUAAGAAUAGAAAAUAAUACAAUUUAAAAAAUAUAUAAUUGUAUAAAAAAUAGUAUUAAUAAAUUUAUGUAAUUAGUAUCCAUUUAUGCUUCAAGUAAAGAAGAAAUUUGAAGUUAAUUAAUAUUAUUCAUUGCAUAUUGUUUGUGCAAAAGACUCGUAAUCAUUUAUUUAAUUAGUAGAUUUCUUUAUAAUUUGUGAAGGAGAAUCAUAUGUAAUGAGUGUUAGCAUGAAAUAGUAUAAAUAUUAAAUUGUUUAUCUAUUUUAUCUCUUACUCUACAAUUGUUGACAAUUUGUUUAUGAAAAUAUUUUUAAAACCCUUUUCGACUAUUAAAUUAUCAUCCUAAAUCAUUUGUUUUUUUUUUAUCAUUCUUUAUUGUUUUAUGAAAUAUUUAUAAAAAAAAACAAACUCUACUCAUCACUUAUAAAUUUAAGCUUUAUUCACCCCUUUUAUAAUUUUUUUUUUCACUUUUAGCUUAAAAGUAUUACUUACUACUAGCAUUUAUAAAGUAUUAUUUAAACCACUCUAACAAUUAAAAAUAGAGUAUUUUAAAAUUAAAAACAAAAAAUGUAAAUAUAAUUUAUUGUAUAAUACAGAUAUAUCCUAUUUUAAUAUCAAAAUUUUUAGGAAAGUUGACAUGCAUGUAAAUAGAAGCUUAUAUGACACAUUGGUUAAUUAAUAACUAAUUUUUGAAUUUUUAAUGUAAAACAAAUAUAUCAGAUAUAUACUUUUAUAAUCCUGUAAUUUUUGCUUUGGAUGUUUUUUUAUGUUUCUAAUAUUCUUUUUUUCUGAUCCUAGUAAAAUUAUUCAUUUGAAAAUAGUUUAUGUAAUUUUUAACUUUUUUUGUUAUUGUUGUUUUAAUUCUUAAUGGAUAUCACUUUUUUAGUUUAUAUUACAACUAAUAUUUUUUUAAUAAAGAUAGCAUCUAACUUUUAUAUUUGUUUUCUUUAUUUUAUCCUUAAAAUAUUUAUUAAUUUUGGUUUAACUUUAUAUAAGACAUAAUAUAUUAUUUUUUAUAUAAGAUAAAAAAAUUAUUUUAAUUUUUUUACUUUAUAAGAUAUUGACAAAGAUUUAAAAUAAAGUUAUUAUUGUUAUUGUUAUUAUUAUUAUUACCAUUGUUAAUACAUAGAAAUUCUUAUACUACAUAAUUUAUUUUAUUGAUAAUAUUUAGUUUACUCUUUCACAUUAUACUUCAAUACAUUAAUAUUGUUAUAUGGUAGAAUUGUUUUAUUUUUAGUAUUUUUAAAUACUUUUAUUAUUAGAUUAUACCUUUUAUUUUAUUUUAAUUUUGAACAAAAAAUAUUUUAAGAUAUAAUAUAAUAUUAAUAAUAAAUACAUAAUGUAAAAAUAUAUAAAAAUUAAUAUAACAAUUAAAUAAUAUAUAUAUAUAUAUAUAAAAGAUUAUAAAAACUUAAAUUUAGUUUUUAAAAAUAGAAAUAGCUUGAAAAUAUGUUUUAUAAAUACAACAUAAAAUAGUACAUACAAACAUGUCUAAUUUUAUUAUUUACACAUUUAUUAUAUAUAAGUAUAUUCUACUUUUGAUUUCAAUUUAAACAUUUAUCUUUUAUAAUUCAAACAUGAAUAAUAUAUUUUGAUUGAACAAAAAAUUCACUUCUGAUCAUUAAAAAUCAUCAUGUUAGUACAUGUCUUACAAAUAUUGAUCUAUGAAGCCAUUGCAUAACUUAUUUUUUUUUCUUGGAAAAAUGGUGAAGCAUAUUAAUAUAAAUUUGAAUAUUAAUAUGCAGGUCAUAAACUUAACCAUAGGGAUUUCUGAAUGCCUUCAAUAGGUUAGGAAUAUCAUAGGCAAGCAUAUCAUCCACUGUUUGUAUCAUUUUUUUAUUCAAUUUCUCAAACCUAUCAAUGUUGUAACCACUCAAAGUCUCUUUGAAUUGUUCAACAUUUGGAAAAUCACCAGCUGGUAGAUGAAACUCCCUUUGUACCUGAUUACAAACAUUAAUUAACAUUUUAAUUUUCAAAUAUUAUCAUAAAUAUAGAUGCAUUCACUACUACAAAGAAAAAAAUAAUUUUAAUAGAUGUUUAUUUUUAUAUUAUUUAGGGUUAAAACUUUUAUCAAGUCGUUUAUCCAGAAUUGCAGUUUUUCCCGCUAAAUCAUCUAUCAGGAACAUAUUUUUUGGAAAUUUUUUAAAUCUCAGGAAAAACCUUUCAGAAACCGUGUUAAAUACCAUGAGUUUAAAAACCUCAGUAAAAUAUUAUAGAUUUCAAAACCUUCAUAAAAUACCAUGAGUUUAAAAACUUCCGUAAAUUUUUUAGGGUUAUAUCAACUUUCGCUUAAUAACCUUUGUUAAAAUAUAUUUUUUCUCAUAGUGAUUUGAAUUUAAUUUAUAUAUAUAUAUAUAUAUAUAUAUAUAUAUAUAUAUAUAUAUUCAUACCUUUCCAAAUUCAACAUCCAAAUUAUCAAUGAGCUUUUGUUGAGCUUUAGCUUUUCCUAUCAUGCUGGGCAUUUGCUUCUUCAGAUGGCUAAUAAUGUAUGCAUGUAUCACAACAGCCCUGGCUCUUUUUACAAAUUCAUUGAUCUGCAAUAUACACCAAUUUUAUCUUAAUUUAAUCAUCUUCAUCAAUAAAUAAAACACAAUUAAUGAUUAAAUUGAUACUAGAAUUCAAGAAAACAUUGUAGGGAACUUUUGUAUCCACAAAAUAAUGUUGAAAGUAGAGAGAAGCUUGGUUUUGUUCCACAAAUGUUUUCCUUUUCAUAUGUUUCAUUAUAAAAUUUAUAUAGAAGUUUUUCUUAUUUUUAGUUUGUAAAUAAUUUUUUUAUUUUAUUUUUGUCAAACCAGUUCUUAAUUUUAAAUGUUAAACUUCAAAAUAAUUUGGAAGUGUUUUGUUAACCAUUUUAAUAAGAUAGUAGAUAAUAAAAUGUACAAAUGAUACUCACUUUCCGAUCACAAGCCUUCUUUGGUAUAUCUUUCAAAUCUGAGAGAAGGUCAUCUUGUUCUUUUUGAAACAAUUCAUCACCAAGUUGACCACUAAUAGAAUCAUGCAUAAAUUUAUCGUUGAAUGAACUGCCAAAAUAGUUUAAACACGUUAAAGAAAUAAGAAUAAGAUAAUUUUAUAUAAUAAUCAAUGAGAAGAAAGUGUAGCAAAAUCUAAAUUACACAAGAAUGUGUACAAUGUAAAAAGUAAAAUCAAAAGAAAAAACUCUUCCGUGUGAAAAAUUCCAAAAACUAAAAAUAUGUAAAAAAAAUAAGAACUAAUUCUUAAUGUAAAGAAAAGUUUUUUUAAAAGGUCGAUGCAUACCCAAUAUAUACACGCAUGACUUCAGGAACAUUCAAUACUUUUCCAAGUGACCACAUCAAUGCACCAUAUAUUCUCAUUAGCUGCAAAAUUCAAUCAUACAAAAUAUAGGUCAAAUUUUUCUUCAAUGAAAUUAUGUCAGAUUUAGUAAAAUUAAAAUAUUAGUAAUAUAUGUCUUUACUUGUUGAGGAUCAACUUGGUCUGCUUUGUUUAAGACCACUCUAAUUUUGUCAUCAUGUCCUCGUAGAGAUGAUAUCACACGCUUAAACUCAUCGCUAACAUCAAGUUUGUGAGGAUCAAACAAAAGGAGUAUUAAAUCACAUUUUGCGGCAAACCAUGAUGUUACACCUGUAAAGUCAUAUUGUCUAUGUGUCCUUUGUUUUUCUCCGGAUAACACUCCAGGACUAUCAACAAAUGUAAUGUGCUCCAAUAACUUUGAACAAUAUAUGAAAAAUGAGAGAGUUAAGUUUCAAAUGCUACAAAAUAAAUCUCUUGAUUUUGUUUUAAUUAAGUAUAAAAGACUCUUACAGGAUGAGGCAUUUGAGAACACUCAAAUUUGGACAAAAAUGAUGUGCCAAAUGUAGUAAGACCACUAAAUGGCAUGUCUGCUUGGACAGCAACAGUGUUUCCAGGAAUGCUUCUUUCAUCGGGUCCAGACUAUUAAAAUAUGUUGAAUCAUUUAAAAAAUUAUAAAAAUGAAUAUAUAAGCGUAAAGACAUUCAAAAACUAUAUAAAUAAUAAUGCAGAUGAAACACUUUGACACAUACCAUAACAACAACAAACCUAUCAGUUGUUGGCUCUGGUCCAAUGUGAGAUCCUAAUAAUAUUAGUAAAAAAAAAAAACAAAAUCAAUAUAUAAAUUACAUAAUUAGUGUGAGCAAUUUCAAAUAUAUAUUACACAUAGAAUUUGAGGUUGAGGUUGAGAAUCACUUGCCUGGAUAACUAGAUCUAAGCAUAUGUUUAAUGAAUGUUGUUUUUCCAGUUGAAUAUUGACCCAAUAGUAGAAUCAUAGGUUUGGCAUCAAAGUCACUAUUUGUCUGUAAUGCAUAAAGAAUAAUAAUCAUAGAAAACUUGUCUGUAAUGCAUAAAGAAUAAUAAUCAUAGAAAACUUAAGUUGUAUCCUGCUGUACAAGAAAAUCAUGAAAUAGAAACUAAUUUUUAGACACCAAAAUAAUUAGUUGUAAUAGUAACUAAAUUAGAGACCAUUUUAGAAACUAAAUAAAAAAUUGGUUUCUAAAUUAGUUUCUAUUAUUGUUAAAUAGUUUCUAAAAAUUGGUAUCUAAUUAGCUACCAAGGUUAAAUUUGGUCUCUAAAACCUUGGUUGCUAAUUAGAUACAAAUUUUUAAAAAUUAUUUAACAACAAUAAUUAGAAAUCAAUUUUUUAUUUAGUUUUUAAAACGGUCUCUAAUUUAGUUUUUAUUGUAAAUUAUUUUGAUCUCUAAAAAUUGAUUUUUAUUUCAUGAUUUCCUUGUAGUGUUGUCCACGUAUACAUAAUUCAGUAAACAAAUGAAGUUGAAUUAGACUAUUUAUUUGUAUUCUUAAUCAAACAAAGCAAAAAAUAGAAUCAAGUACUAACCAAUAAAGGAGAUACAAAAUCAUUAUAACGAUAAGCAACUUCUAAAGGCUUCAACUUUUGAAGAUAAAGCCUCUUCAAACCAUCUACUAUUGAUGUCACUGAAGAAGAAGGCACCUAUAAACAUAUUCUCAAAAAGUUAGAAGAAGAUGAAGGAUAAAGAAAAACCCUAAACCAUAAUAAGGUUAGAAGAAAAUUCAGAAUAAUAGAUAAAGAAAAAACAUAAUUUUUAGUCCAAACUAAGACAUUUAUCAUGUCAUAUUGUUACAUGAAAUAUAUUUUGUUUAUUUUUUUUUUAAAUAUUUGUUUAAGGAAAAAAAAUAUUUGCACUUUAUAGAGUUGCAUGUAAAAAAUUCUUACCUUUUUUACCGACUUUGCUAAAAACCAAUUACUUGCAGGUGAUGGUUGAGGACUAACUGCAUUAUUACCAGUAAGUGAAUUUGAUAAAAGAAAAAAUAAAUAAAUAAAAAAGGACAAAAGCAAUAUGAAUAACAUCCUUUAUAUUAAUUGAAUUAGCAUACAUUACCACUCAAAUCUUUAUCUUUAUUUUUGCGUCUUUUCUUCUACACAAACAAAUCCAUGUAAUAAUAAGUUAUUUCACUAAAUGAAUAUACAAUAUGAGCAUAAAAAAAAAUUAAAAAUUAAAAAUAAUUAAUCACUAUAUUGAUUAAAUUAGGUAUUAUUUUAGAAUUCAAAAUAUUAUUAGUGUCUGAAAUAGUUUAUAUUAUUAAUAUAAAUUUAUAAAAUAGUUUCUACAUUAGUAUCUAAAGUAGCUACUAAUAUUUUAUUUAGAUUAUAAAAUAGUCUGAAAGAUUAAUAGAGACUAAUUUAGAAUAUAUAGUAGUAAGUAACUAAAAUCUUGGUAGCUAAAAGUUAGAUACUAAUUUAUAAAUUAUUUUAUAAAUUUUUAUUAAUAAUAGAAACUAAUUUAGAUACUAAUAUAUUUUUUUUAAUUUAUAAAAUGAUCUUUAAUUAGUCAAAUAAUAAUUAUUUUGAUCUCUAAAAUUAGUUUUUAUUUAAAAAAAAUUAGUGAAAUAGUUGUACUUACUGCAACUAAUGCAUCCAAACCAUCCAUUGUGGGUGGUUUUACAUGUCUCAUAACUGAAAUAAAAGUAAAUCAUAUGUUAGUGACUUCUAUAACAUAAAUUUAACAAGUGAUAAAAAAGAAAAUGUAAAAUUUUAAUUGAUAUUAAAAAAAAAAAUAACUAAGAAACCAAACAAUGAAAAAAAAAACAAAACCUACCAUCACUAGUUAGCAAAUCAUGUGUUAUUGAGUAUCCACAUUGUCCUAAAGAGACAAGCUAUAGUUAAAAAUGAGUUAGUUAGGGUUUAGAAAUAUGUAAACCUUAAACUCAAAAAACAUAUUAAGGAUUUGGUUUUGUACCUGCAUAGCAGUCACAAAUUCUUUGAAACCUAAAUAUCCUUCUCGUUUUGAAUCUGCAAUGGCCCAUAUCUCAUUUUGAUAAAAAGGGACCCAUAAAGAAAUAAAUUAGUUACAAGGAAGAAACAAAUAUAUCAAAAGAAGGAUUGUAAAAAAUAUCAAAUAAUGUAACUUAAAUAAACAAUUCAUCUUUUAUAUAUACAAUAUCACAUCUAAUGGGAAAAUUCUAUCAUAGUCCAUUUUUAUCCCAAGUUUCAAAAAGGAUAAAAUUUACAUACAUAACUUAUAACAUACUUUAAAUUAUAUUUAAAUUAUAUGAUAUUGUUUCUUCUUAUUUAAAGCAAGGCUAGCUGCAUAUUCCAAUCUAUUGGUCUGCCCUACAUAAUUUGUAGCCCGCAUGGGAUGGGACGGGUUGACCCGCAUGAUCUAGAUAACUUCAAAAUUUAAAAGGUUUUUUUUCUGCAAUCUCAUAUUUUCUUCAUGCAACCUCAUAUUUCACAUUCUAAAAUCUUUACUCAUCUAAUUACGCAUGUGUCACGAGAAUAAUAUUGUAAGACCAUUUAUCUAAUUCAUCUAAAUAAAAAAUUAAAAAAAAAUAUUUAAAAAAUUGUUUUUUAGUCAUUUUUUUUUUUAAAAUAUUUCUUAUGUGGAUUGACACUUAGAUUAAUGAUCAACCCUUAUAUGAGACGUGUUAGUAAAAUCAACCUACAUAUUCUAUGCGGGGUGUGACAACCUAACCUAUAUUUUGUAGGUCAAAUACAAGACGAAUCAAUUUAAAUUGGCUUCCUACUAAAUAUGUUGUGCCUUCUUAAUCCAUAAAUACAUUUUUUAUAUUAAUUUCUACUCCUUGUUCAUAUGCAUAGAACAAAUUUAUAAAGCAGAAAACCUGUUUCAGUUCUUGUCGUGACAAGUUUGACAUAGUAAAAAACUUGAUGGCUUCAUGUCCCGUAAAACGACCAUCCCCAUCUGAACACACCAAAAUGCAUAAUAAUCCAAUCAUUUACAGAAGAACAAAUCUAUUUUGCAUAAAGUAAUAACAUAAAUGACAAAGAGGUUAAAGGAAAGAAUUUUAAACUAAUUCAACAUUUUAUUAUUUUGCAAAUUUAUAAUGAAACAAAACCCUAAAAGAAUGUAUGAAUAAAAACAUGAAAAAACAAGUAACACCAUGUGAAUUUCAAUCAUCAUAGAAUGCGAUGAAAAAUGGAAAAUUUUGUUCAAAUAACAACCUGAAUCUGCAUAAUUGAACCACUCCUCAUAUAGGGUUUGAUUAUCUUUGAAACUUGAAUCGACUGGUACUAUAGCAAGUUCCAUGAUAAGAACAAUUUAGAAAAUUGAUUUCUAUUUUCCUUUUACGAUUUUGAGUAAGAUAUAAAGAGGGGUUCCAUAUGCUUGCAGAGGGAUGGUUAUUCCAUUGACGUUGUUGCAAACCAUACAUGACACAAAUUUGGAGCUUUUAUAUUGUGAAUAUUGAUGUUAAGUGCUAAAGAACUGGUUGAAUCUAGAAUUGGAAUUUCCAUUAAUAACUACACCUGAACACGUUAAAAGAGGAAAUCAUGUUGAAAGUUUUCUUAAAAUUAGUAUAAGAAUGGGUUGAUAAAAUUAUUACACGACUUAUUAUUAUUUAAUGUGAAUUGAUUUAAUUUGGAAUCCAAAAAUAGUUAUAAAGUAUUGAUAUGGUUAAAAAUCUAAAAUUAUACUCUCUACUUCAUUAUCCUUUAAAUUAUAUAAUUUUCCUUUUUUUAUUAUUUUUUUUGCAUGUAAUGGUUAACAAUGUUACUGUAAUUUAUUUAUUUUUUUAACUAUUAUUGAGAUUUAUAAUAUCAAGAAACGAUAUACCCACGUUAAAUAGAAGUUAGAGUGAUAUAAGCAUUUUCAUAAUAUGUUUGACUUUAGAGUGACAAAACUUAUUACUAUGCAUAAUUAAAAACUCAUUAGCAUUUUCAUUUUCAUAAUUGUUGCAAGCAAUGGACAAAAAUCCAAAUAUCAUAUAAAUAAAAACUUGUUAUAUAACUACUUGGAGAGAAAAAUAAAUUAUAGGGUUUUAGAAAUUGAAAAUAAAAGACAUGCAAUAACUAAAAGACUUUAAUAAAAAUAAUGAUAAAGAUAUAGAUGAGAUAGUUCAAACAAAGAGAAUUUAGAGAAUGGUUUCACUUUUUCAUGAAAUUCAUUCAUUAUCAAUCCAACAAUUUUAUUAUGCAGUUAAUUCAACGAUCUAUGAAUUUGAAAGCUCUCUAAAUUUCACUUUGCAAGAAUUGUUCUUCUCACCUUAAAAAAAUAAAACAAUAAAAAACAUAAAAAUAUAAUAAAAAUAAUUAAAAUUAGGAUAAGUAAGUUUUUUUUAAUCCCAAUCUUAUAAUGAGUUUUUCAAUUUGGUCAUAUUAUUUUGAAAAUUUUCAAGAACAAUGUAUGACACAUCAUUAAUCAAAAGUUCACUUAUUGAGGAAAUCAAAAUUGACUUAUUGAGGAAAGUAAGACAUAAUAUCAAUACCAAAUAACAUUUGACUUAUAAUACUAUUGUGACUAUAAAAUUGACAAAAAAUUCUGUUAACUUAUUAUUUUUAAAAGAAUUAUGAUUAAAUUGAGAAUAUUAAAAAAAGUGAGACAAAAUUGAAAAAAAUGCUCACAAUAUUAAGAUAAAAAGCUUAUCUAAUCUUAAAAUUAAAAUUAAAGAAACAAAUAAAUAAAAACGUAUAAAAAUUGUAAGUAUUCAAAUAUUAUAAAAAAUAAUAUUAAAAUAUUGGUUUUUAGCCUUUAUCAAGGACGAUAUUUUUAAGUGGCUAUGAUGCUCUAUUCUCAUUACUAAAAUUGAACACACAACUCAAAACAACUAUUAGUAGUUUUAUUUAAUUAAUUUAAAUUUAUAGUUUUAUUAGAAUUUGACAGAAGUUAAAUGUAAAAAACAUCAUUUGUGUAAUUAUGAAAAAAAGAAUUUAUAAAUUAAAAUCAGAAACAAAUAAAACAUCUUAAUCUUCUGUUAAAAAAUAUUUGAUUGUAUAUUUGUUAGGAGCUUUUAUGUUUAUUCAUAUUUUUAUUAUAUCUAUAUAUAUAUAUAUAUAUAGUUGUAUAAAAAUAAUAUUAAAAUAAUUAUGUAACCUUAUUUAAAAAAUAUUUAAUUAUUUUAAAAUAAAAAAAUAUUUAGUUAUUUAUUUAAUUAAAUAAAUACAUUAUUUUUUACUUAUUAAAAAAUCACAUGAAAGUUAUAAAUUAUGUAUUUUUUUGUAUGUAAAUAUUUUAUUAAUGAUAUAGAUAUGUAAUAAGGAAUUCAGUUCUCCAUUCUCAAUUUCCUCGUAAGAUCUAAUCUUACACUCACCGGACCACUCUAUCGCGCCACCGUCCACGGUAGCUCCGGCAAUCACCUUUGGCUUCCUCACUUUCUCUGUCUUUUUCUCAGGUCCCUGUUUUAUCCUCUCUCUUUCUCUCUCGAUCUAUUGAAAUUUCAACUUCAAUCUUAUGAUUCCGUACCAUUUUGCGAUUCUUCAUAUUUAUUGGAUUCAUCUCUCUUUUUUUGUGACAAUUUCCUCAUUUCACCCCAUUUGCGGUUUAUUUUCAAAGAUAAAUCAUUUCCCCCCAAUUUUCGUUCUUUUUACAGGGUUUGAUGUUUUUAAUUUUGCCAAUUGCUUGUGAUUCUAUGAUAAUUUUUAGAUAAUGAUUUACUCAUAAUUGCGUUUCACUUUCUUCAAUGCGAAAUUCAAUGAAUAUUUGUGUGAUAUUUAGAACCUUUGGCUGGGCUUUUCACUUUUCAUCAGCUUGUGAAUAGGGUUUAUCUUAUGGGUAUUAUGUUUUUGUUGAUGGAUUAUUACUAUGUAUAAUGAACUGUUGAAGUUUGAGUAGUUUCUUGAUAUUUUCUUUGCCUUUUCUGCAUUGCAAGGGACUAGUUGACAGAGGGUUUAGUUUAGUUUAGAGUAUUAGUUUCACUUGCAAAUUGUUGUUUGAAACUAACUGUUUGCAUUGUGUAUGUGUGUGUGUGUUGAUAGCAGAAAUAUGCCUUCUCAGAAGGUUGAAACGGGUCACCAAGACACGGUCCAUGAUGUUGCCAUGGAUUACUAUGGUAAGAGACUGGCAACAGCUUCAUCAGAUCACACAAUUAAGAUAAUUGGAGUGAACAACACGGCCUCUCAGCAUCUAGCAACAUUGACUGGUCACCAAGGACCUGUUUGGCAAGUAGCAUGGGCUCACCCGAAGUUCGGUUCUCUGCUUGCAUCGUGUUCCUUUGAUGGCCGUGUUAUUAUUUGGAAGGAGGGUAACCAAAAUGAAUGGACUCAAGCUCAUGUGUUUGAUGAGCACAAAUCAUCUGUG